UUGUGAUGUGGAAUCUACGUGGAAAAUACAUUAGAUUCGAAAAAAAGUCAUCAAUGUAAACUUGUUUUUGAGGGUGAAAUUUCAACCACAGGAUUAUGUCAUUUCAACAUAGACAAACCUUCUAUAAAUUAUUUUGAAUUUGUUUAUUUAAAACAUCAGAUCUUCAAAGUAAAAUCCACUAUCAGAAAAAAACAAUAAGCUGGGCAGAACCUCCUACUGGAGAAUUAAUCUAUCUACAGCAACCUUUUGGUCUCCCAUUCAGGAUUUUAACCAAGCCCUGCUUAGCUAUGAUAUUUGUUACUGACUAUUACCAAUAUGCUAUCAUGAGAAUUAUGUUGAGUGAUUUCCACUUAAAAACUAAAUAGAUUCACUGUUGCUAUUGAAGUCAUUCCAAAGGGUAGAUUAACAGAGCAAACUAAUGUGACUCAUAUAACAUCAAUGAUGCUAUUUAGGCCUAUAUUUUUUUAGUUAACCUUUAUUUAAAGUUGAACUGACAGCAUUUUUUUUUUAAAUUAAAUCUUUUUUAAAUCUGUUCAAAUACACCCCUGGGAAGAAUGGAAUUUUUUGGGGUACAUUUUCUGACAAGCGAGCACUUUUUUUUCACUUUUUCAGAAAUUCUUAGAAUGUUUGGGAAUUACGUAUAUUAAGGCAUUUGAGAAAAUGUUAUAGUAAUAUAGAGUGGGAAAGCGGCUGUGUGUUUGGACAGUUAAUAGACACUACAGUAAAUAAAACCUAAUAAAAAUAAUUCUCAUCCAGGACUGGAGUCUAGACAGGCUGUUGCGCCAUAGCCAAUCAGAGCUACAGUAGGCCUUUAUGCAAACAACCAUUUGCCACAAGGACCUGCCAUUAUUCACUUUGAACUGACCUGUGUGUUUACAGACAUUUGCAUCAGCACAACUGUUUAGAAAAUUAGAAUGCAUUUGGCACAAGCCACAAAUUACACCUUAAUGGAUUUCUGCAAAUAUAUAAAUACCAUGUGAGUCCUCUUACAUUUUGGAACUUUACAGUCCAAUUGAUCAAACAACCACAAAAAGCUAGGAUAUCUUUCCUUAUAUGCCAAUCAACAACAACAACAUGAACAACUAAUGCUAGCCAGAGCAAGAUGCGAUAAACCCUCUCAAACUUUUUGAGCUAGUUGGCUGUCACAAUUGCACUGAUAAACGAUGGGGAAUAGUAAGUUACCUGCUCUUCUUUCUGCAGCAUGCCUGCCAUAUGCAUGCUUCUCACAACCAAGCACCCAAUCUAAAUGGCUAAAGUUGGCUAGCUUACUAGCUAGCUACUUCCAGACACAAACGAGAGAACACCUCACUUUGACCAUUUUACUUGCCGUAACAGAGCUGGUUAGGGUGUUUGCAUGUUAUCUAGAGCAUUCGUGACUAACAAUUACUUGUUUUGCCCAUGUUUAAUGACACCGGUCGUAUUCAGCAUGUUGCACAUUCUUAUUCAUCAUUUAUUCUGUACUUUGCCACACAGACGAGAGUGCUCUGAAAUCGGAGUAGAUAGUCAGAGUAAAUUUGCAAACACAAGAGAUAUGCUAACUGGGUAACAGUCGUUCAAGUUCAGCAUAGCUAGCUAGCUAGCUGGCAAAACAAUUCACAUUUCUUGCUAGCUAAGCAAAAGACACCUGACUCUCUAGCUGUGUAGCCACCGAAAAACAAUAUGAGGGAAGAAGUCAGUCAGUCAUUCACCCACUCCUGCAAUGACAUAACAUUCUACUAGCAGCUAGCUAGCUAACAUUAGGUUCUGUGUUUUUAGAUUUCUACAUAAAUAGAUACGCUAGCCUAUUAGCCACGUUAUGACUGACUUGUGAUCAUUGCCGUUGCUAGUUUCAUUGUAUUGACAUUCCCAGCCUUAGUUACAUUCGUCCGUUUUUUUGUCCAAAAUAUUAAAUAAUUGAAACUAAAACAGUGCAUCCCAAAUGGAGGCAGCAAACAAUAUUCCAUGACAGCUGUGAUUUACAACAUGAUAGCAAUAUUUUUGGGACUGCCAAGAAAAGUAUUGGUGAAUUAUAUUAAUCAUGCAUUGAUCUGCAUCCACUUAUUCUGCCAACAAUGCCUUACUGUACGUCAUGGAAUGUUGAUAAAAAAUAUAACCUAUUUUUAAACCUCUUAUAAAGUUGGUUUGUAGCACAAACUUGGAAUUUUAUAUUUUUGGCUGAUGUUAUGAUUGUCUGUUUGUUUCAUAUCUCCAAAGUAGUUCAAAUGCUGUCAGUUCCACUUUAACCAGGCAAGUCAAUUAAGAACAAAUUAUGAUUUACAUUAACAGCAGGUGAAAGGCAGG
rnacentral:lncRNA from 1 species